rnacentral:rRNA from 1 species
GAUGAACGCUGGCGGCGUGCCUAAUACAUGCAAGUCGAGCGAACGGACGAGAAGCUUGCUUCUCUGAUGUUAGCGGCGGACGGGUGAGUAACACGUGGAUAACCUACCUAUAAGACUGGGAUAACUUCGGGAAACCGGAGCUAAUACCGGAUAAUAUUUUGAACCGCAUGGUUCAAAAGUGAAAGACGGUCUUGCUGUCUCUUAUAGAUGGAUCCGCGCUGCAUUAGCUAGUUGGUAAGGUAACGGCUUACCAAGGCAACGAUGCAUAUCCGACCUGAGAGGGUGAUCGGCCACACUGGAACUGAGACACGGUCCAGAGUCCUACGGGAGGCAGCAGUAGGGAAUCUUGCGCAAUGGGCGAAAGCCUGACGGAGCAACGCCGCGUGAGUGAUGAAGGUCUUCGGAUCGUAAAACUCUGUUAUUAGGGAAGAACAGAUGUGGAAGUAACUGUGCACAUCUUGACGGUACCUAAUAAGAAAGCAACGGCUAACUACGUG